GACGGGGGGGGCAAGUGUUCUUCGGAAUGACUGGGCGUCAAGGGCGCGUAGGCGGCCUGCUAAGUAGGGGGUGAAAUCCUGCGGCUUAACCGCAGGGCUGCCUUCUAAACUGUCAGGCUCGAGCACAGUAGAGGCAGGUGGAAUUCCCGGUGUAGCGGUGGAAUGCGUAGAGAUCGGGAAGAACAUCAGUGGCGAAGGCGGCCUGCUGGGCUGUUGCUGACGCUGAGGCGCGACAGCGUGGGGAGCAAACAGG
rnacentral:rRNA from 1 species